CUCAAAUUUGAAAUCUGGCCCCCAGGGCCCGAGUUGUAAUUUGCAGAGGAUGCUUUUGGCGCGGUGCCUUCCGAGUUCCCUGGAACGGGACGCCAUAGAGGGUGAGAGCCCCGUCUGGUCGGACGCCUAGCCUGUGUAAAGCUCCUUCGACGAGUCGAGUAGUUUGGGAAUGCUGCUCUAAAUGGGAGGUAUAUGUCUUCUAAAGCUAAAUACCGGCCAGAGACCGAUAGCGCACAAGUAGAGUGAUCGAAAGAUGAAAAGCACUUUGAAAAGAGGGUUAAAUAGUACGUGAAAUUGUUGAAAGGGAAGCGCUUGUGACCAGACUUGGGCCCGGUGGAUCAUCCAGCGUUCUCGCUGGUGCACUCCGCCGGGUUCAGGCCAGCAUCAGUUCGCCGCGGGGGAAAAAGGCUUCGGGAACGUGGCUCCUACGGGAGUGUUAUAGCCCGUUGCAUAAUACCCUGGGGCGGACUGAGGUUCGCGCUCCGCAAGGAUGCUGGCGUAAUGGUCAUCAGCGACCCGUCUUGAAACACGGACCAAGGAGUCGUCUUCGUAUGCGAGUGUUCGGGUGUAAAACCCCUACGCGUAAUGAAAGUGAACGCAGGUGAGAGCUUCGGCGCAUCAUCGACCGAUCCUGAUGUUCUCGGAUGGAUUUGAGUAAGAGCAUACGGGGCCGGACCCGAAAGAAGGUGAACUAUGCCUGUAUAGGGUGAAGCCAGAGGAAACUCUGGUGGAGGCUCGCAGCGGUUCUGACGUGCAAAUCGAUCGUCAAAUAUGGGCAUGGGGGCGAAAGACUAAUCGAACCUUCUAGUAGCUGGUUUC
rnacentral:rRNA from 1 species